UCUAGCCAGCUAGGGACACAUAUAUAUGCUUCAAUGAUGAGAGGCACGUUGAUAAUCCUCAUGUUUGCUGUGGGAACCUGGAUCAGUUCUGCUCAUGCAAGGGCUUUGAUAGACCAAAGCUCUUCCAAGCAUCCCAUGUCUUCUUUCCUUGGUACAGAAAAUAUUGGAAGUAAGUUUUUCGUGACCAAGACAGGUGUGAAUGGAAAUUAUACCCGAAGGUCCAAAUCCCCGCCCCCUCCGCCCAAAGCAGCACCAACACCAAAGCAAACACCAACGAUCACCGAUAUACUCGAGAAAUCUCCUCCAAGCAGUCGAUACAUAUCUUCAGCCUGAGGGAGAUAGUGGACGAUGGAAUAAUGGAGUCAGUGUAAAUGUGUGAUGUAAAUUA